UGAGUCAGUCAGGCGGCCGCGUCGGGACUCCGCAGGGAGGCCCGCCGAGGAACGUCCGGGCUCCGUAGGGCAGGGUGGUGGGUAACACCCACCCGGGGUGACCCGCGGGACAGUGCCACAGAGAACAGACCGCCGGCCCCUCCGGGGACCGGCAAGGGUGAAACGGCGGUGCAAGAGACCACCAGCGCACCGGGCGACCGGUGCGGCUCGGCAAACCCCACCCGGAGCAAGGCCAGACAGGGAGCGUUCGAGGGCUGCCCGCCCGAGCUCCCGGGUAGGCCGCUGGAGGCGUGCGGCAACGUACGUCGUAGAUGGAUGGCCGCCACCCGGUCGCGGGAGACCGUGACCGGGCACAGAACCCGGCGUAUCGACUGACUCAUCCG
rfam:Cellulomonas sp. 73-145 SCNpilot_cont_500_bf_scaffold_5, whole genome shotgun sequence.